rnacentral:rRNA from 1 species
GAUGAACGCUGGCGGCGUGCUUAACACAUGCAAGUCGAACGGUGAAAGAGAGCUUGCUCUCUGGAUCAGUGGCGAACGGGUGAGUAACACGUGAGCAAUCUGCCCCUGACUCUGGGAUAAGCGCUGGAAACGGCGUCUAAUACCGGAUACGAGCUGCGAAGGCAUCUUCAGCAGCUGGAAAGAACUUCGGUCAGGGAUGAGCUCGCGGCCUAUCAGCUAGUUGGUGAGUUAACGGCUCACCAAGGCGUCGACGGGUAGCCGGCCUGAGAGGGUGACCGGCCAAACUGGGACUGGGGCACGGCCCAGACUCCCACGGGAGGCAGCAGUGGGGAAUAUUGCACAAUGGGCGAAAGCCUGAUGCAGCAACGCCGCGUGAGGGACGACGGCCUUCGGGUUGUAAACCUAUUUUAGCAGAGAAGAAGCGAAAGUGACGGUACCUGCAGAAAAAGCACUGGCUAACUACGUG